CCUCCGCCUUGUCUAUGAGCUCAAGUGGGACAGUUCGGCACUUCUGGAACGCUAGCACGGUGCUCACGCUUUAGCACUGUCGUGAAUAUAAAUAUAUGAUUGAUCUGAUCGAGCCGCAUGACAAAGGGGGGACAUCAGAUAUAAUGGUUAAAUAUAGAAGUGUGCGAAGAUUGAACAUUUGGAAUAUCGAAUCGAAUAUCGUCAUACUUGAUUCGGUCUUCGGGAAUAGCCCAUAUGCGUUAAUACGAAUAUUUCAAAAUAUCAUCUAUGCCCAAAUAAACACGAAAUUAGCGUAAAAAUACAAUAAUUUCUACGGUCAUAAGCUAUACGUCGUUUGCAGAGCCAGAAUUCGAUAGUCCGCACACACUGAAGAGUUUUAAAAUUUCUACUUGAUGCUCAGUUUAUGGUUUUCAUGUUAAUUUGUUUUAAUGUUAGAGUACCAACGAUAUUUUGUGUUAACAACGAAAACGGUUCAAUUCAAAUUCGAUCCGCUUCUUGCACGCAUUAGCGCUGCCCUAAAAUGUUCAGGCAUAUGCUUCAGUUGAAAUUUCCCGCUCCUUUUUUUUCUCACCCGAAAGAGCUGAUAUAAGCAACACGUGCGUUCCUCCGAAAAAAAAAAAAAAAGUGGUGAGAUCUCUCUCCCAGAAAGAAUGACAAGGCCUGAAAGGAGGAACGAAGAGGGAGGCGGGGCGUGCAGCGGGGCUACCAUAGCGGGGCGCCGGACCCCGCACCUCUCGCGUUUUCUUUUUUUUCUUUGCCACAGCGCUGGGGAGGGGAGCAAGCUCCAUGCGUCAGUUCCCGCCAAAUUGUAGCUCUUUCGAGCGAGGACGUGCUGACUGAAACACUGCACAGAGACGGGCAAGCACUCAGAGGCAUUUCGUUUGCCUUGAUCCUGGAGGCGGCCUUCUCCCAUUGCCGAGGAUUUGAAGCGAACUCCUGGCAGAUCAGAAAUGUUCAGGCGAACGGCGGUUAUAUUUGUCUGUGGACCCAAGACUUCGUUGACGGGCAAAUAUGUCAGAUUUUCUUGUUUUUUAUUUGUGGCAUCUUAUUGUAAAGCCGUGACAUAUUUUGCCGUUUUCUCUAGGGAACCCUGCAACAAGGACUGUAGUGUGAAUAGCGUGCUGCGCUGCUCUCGCCAACUGAAAAGAACUCUGGUAAGAUGCAUGCUUGGUUAUGAAAGUCUCACGCAAUCGCUUUUCACAUUGAAUUUGGUCGCAGGUGUGCUGUAAAUGCCGACUGCACAAUAUGUGACUGGCCCGCGGCUGCUUUGAAGUUUGUGCGCUGUGGAGCUUGAAGCACUUCUCGGAAUUUCAGCACACUCGCAUUUAUUUUUUUCCCGACAGAAGAAAAAUGCAAGUCUAACAUCUCGACGGUAAAACGUCGCAUCUGCGCACGUGUUCAGGGCCAAGAGCACGAGAAGUGGCCGAAAGAAGGGAGCCGAUCCAACAGGAAUGCCGUCCGUCUUUAUAUUUAUAUAUGUCAGCGUUAUCAUGCCGUGAUCACAUGGACUGUACGGUUGCGUUGCACAAGGGCUGAUGCAAACGCUCCGUGCGAACAAUGUUGCAUGGAAAAUUAGUGCAUCUAUACAAUUGCAAAAUAAAGA